UACAGGGGGGGCAAGCGUUGUUCGGAAUUACUGGGCGUAAAGGGCUCGUAGGUGGCCAACUAAGUCAGACGUGAAAUCCCUCAGCUUAACUGGGGAACUGCGUCUGAUACUGGAUGGCUUGAGUUUGGGAGAGGGAUGCGGAAUUCCAGGUGUAGCGGUGAAAUGCGUAGAUAUCUGGAGGAACACCGAUGGCGAAGGCAGGUCUCUGGGCCACUACUGACGCUGAGAAGCGAAAGCAUGGGGAGCGAACAGG
rnacentral:rRNA from 1 species